GACGAACGCUGGCGGCGUGCUUAACACAUGCAAGUCGAACGGUAAGGCCCUUCGGGGUACACGAGUGGCGAACGGGUGAGUAACACGUGGGUGAUCUGCCCUGCACUUCGGGAUAAGCCUGGGAAACUGGGUCUAAUACCGGAUAGGACCAUGGACUUCACGGUUUGUGGUGGAAAGCUUUUGCGGUGUGGGAUGGGCCCGCGGCCUAUCAGCUUGUUGGUGGGGUAAUGGCCUACCAAGGCGACGACGGGUAGCCGGCCUGAGAGGGUGUCCGGCCACACUGGGACUGAGAUACGGCCCAGACUCCUACGGGAGGCAGCAGUGGGGAAUAUUGCACAAUGGGCGCAAGCCUGAUGCAGCGACGCCGCGUGAGGGAUGACGGCCUCGGGUUGUAACCUCUUUCAAUAGGGACGAAGCUCAAGUGACGGUACCUAUAGAAGAAGCACCGGCCAACUACGUGCCAGCAGCCGCGGUAAU
rnacentral:rRNA from 1 species